GAUGAACGCUGGCGGCGUGCCUAAUACAUGCAAGUCGAGCGAACAGGCGAGGAUCUUGCGCCUCUGACGUUAGCCGCGGAGGGGUGAGUAACACGUGGAUAACCUACCUAUCAGACUGGGAUAACUUCGGAAAACCGGAGCUAAUACCGGAGAAUAUAUUGAACCACAUGGUUCAAUAGUGAAAGACGGUUGUUCUGUCUCUUAUAGAUGGUUCCGCGCCUCAUGAGCUGGUUGGUAAGGUAACGGCCUACCAAGGCAACGAGGCGUAGACGAGGUGAGGGGGUGGUAGGCCACACUGGAACUGAGCCACGGACCAGGCUACUACGGGAGGCAGCAGUAGGGAAUCGUCCGCAAUGGGCGAAAGCAUGACGGAGUAACGCCGCGUGAGUGGUGAAGGUCUUCGGAUCGUAAAACCCUGUUAUUAGGUAAGAACAAAUGUGUCAGUAACUAUGCACGUAUUGACGGUACCUAAUCAGAAAGCCACGGCUAACUACGUG
rnacentral:rRNA from 1 species